GAUGAACGCUGGCGGCGUGCCUAAUACAUGCAAGUCGAGCGAACAGACCACGAGCUUGCUGCGCUCACGUUAGCGGCGCGCGUGUGUGUCACGCGUGGAUACCCUACCUCUCACACGGGUAUACCUUCGGGAAUCCGGCGCUAAUACGGUAUAAUAUAUUGAACCGCAUGGUUCAGUAGUGAAUGUCGGUUUUGCUGUCACUUCUAGAUGGAUCAGCUCCUUAUUAGCUAGUUGGUAAGGUAAGGGGUUACCAAGGCGACGGUGCGUAUGCGACCUGGGAGGGUGAUCGCCCACACUGGAACUUAAACACCGUCCUGACUCCUACGGUAGGCAGCAGUAUGGAAUCUUCCGCAAUGGGCGAAAGCCUUACGCAGCAACGCCACGUGAGUGAUGAAGGUCUUCGGAUCGUAAAACUCUCUUAUUAGUGAAAAACAAAUUUGUAAGUAACUAUGCACUUCUUGACGGUACCUAAUCAAAAAGCAACGGCUAACUACGUG
rnacentral:rRNA from 1 species